rnacentral:rRNA from 1 species
AUUGAACGCUGGCGGCAGGCCUAACACAUGCAAGUCGAACGAGGGGCGGACGGGUGAGUAAUGUCUGGGAAACUGCCUGAUGGAGGGGGAUAAAUACUGGAAACGGUAGCUAAUACCGCAUACAAUCGGAUGCGCACAGAUGGGAUUAGCGAGUAGGUGGGGUAACGGCUCACCUAGGCGACGAUCCCUAGCUGGUCUGAGAGGAUGAACAGCCACACUGGGACUGAGACACGGCCCAGACUCCUACGGGAGGCAGCAGUGGGGAAUAUUGCACAAGGGGCGAAAGCCUGAUGCAGCCAUGCCGCGUGUAUGAAGAAGGCCUUCGGGUUGUAAAGUACUUUCAGUGGGGAGGCGUUACCCACAGAAGAAGCACCGGCUAACUCCGUGCCAGCAGCCGCGGUAAUAC